rnacentral:rRNA from 1 species
UACGAAGGGGGCUAGCGUUAAUCGGAUUUAUUGGGCGUAAAGGGCGCGUAGGCGGAAGAGGAAGUCAGAUGUGAAAUUCCGGGGCUCACCCCCGGAGCUGCAUUUGAAACUCUUUUUCUAGAGGGUAGGCGGAGAAAACGGAAUUCCACGUGUAGCGGUGAAAUGCGUAGAUAUCGGGAGGAACAUCAGUGGCGAAGGCGACCGCCUGGCCCAACACUGACGCUGAGGUGCGAAAGCGUGGGUAGCAAACAGG